rnacentral:rRNA from 1 species
GAUGAACGCUAGCGGCAGGCUUAACACAUGCAAGUCGAGGGGCAGCAUAAACAUUGCUUGCAAUGUUUGAUGGCGACCGGCGCACGGGUGCGUAACGCGUAUGUAACCUACCUCAAACAGGGGCAUAACACUGAGAAAUUGGUACUAAUUCCCCAUAAUACUUCGGGAGGCAUCUUCUGAAGUUGAAAGUUCCGGCGGUUUGAGAUGGACAUGCGUUGUAUUAGCUAGUUGGUGAGGUAACGGCUCACCAAGGCGACGAUACAUAGGGGGACUGAGAGGUUGAACGGCCACAUUGGAACUGAGAUACGGCCCAGACUCCUACGGGAGCAGCAGUGGGGAAUAUUGGACAAGUGGGCGAAAGCCUGAUCCAGCGACGCCGCGUGAAGGAAGACGGUCUUC